GCCGUGGCUCAGUGGAAGAGUAUCUGCUUGGCACGCAGAAGGUCCCAGGUUCAAUCCCUGGCAUCUCCA